rnacentral:rRNA from 1 species
AGUGAACGUUGGCGGCGUGGAUUAGGCAUGCAAGUCGAGCGAGAACCGUAGCAAUACGGGGACAGCGGCGAAAGGGACAGUAAUGUGUAGGUACCUACCCCGGGGUCUGGGAUAGCUGCGGGAAACUGCAGGUAAUACCGGAUAAUGUCUUCGGACCAAAGGUGUGAUUCCACCUUGGGAGGGGCCUGCAUCCUAUUAGCUUGUUGGCGGGGUAACGGCCCACCAAGGCAACGAUGGGUAGCGGGUGUGAGAGCACGACCCGCGUCAUUGGGACUGAGAUACUGCCCAGACACCGACGGGUGGCUGCAGUCGAGGAUCUUCGGCAAUGGGCGAAAGCCUGACCGAGCGACGCCGCGUGCGGGAUGAAGGCCUUCGGGUUGUAAACCGCUGUCGUAGAGGAGGAAAUGCAGGGGGGUUCUCCCUUCAGUUUGACCUAUUCUAGGAGGAAGGACGGGCUAAGUUCGUGCCAGCAGCCGCCGUAA